rnacentral:misc_RNA from 1 species
UUUCCGUAGGUGAACCUGCGGAAGGAUCAUUAUUGAAACUUCAUCAGGGGCGCCGCGGCCUUCAACACCGGUGGAAACGCAGUGCGGCGGGGGCCGCGCGUGCACUCGUCCAAACCACACCCCUGGGAACCUUACGGGAUGGCCCGGGUUAGCGCCCGAUGCCGUUCCGCUUUAUUAAAACACUUAUCAAAGAAUGAACUGAAGGCUGUCUGACCGCUGGAUAACAAUCUGAAACAACUUUCAACAACGGAUCUCUUGGCUCUC